UGGGGAAUAUUGGACAAUGGGCGCAAGCCUGAUCCAGCCAUGCCGCGUGAGUGACGAAGGUCUUCGGAUUGUAAAGCUCUUUUAGCAGGGAAGAUAAUGACGGUACCUGCAGAAUAAGCCCCGGCUAACUUCGUGCCAGCAGCCGCGGUAAUACGAAGGGGGCUAGCGUUGUUCGGAAUUACUGGGCGUAAAGCGCACGUAGGCGGAUUGAUAAGUUAGAGGUGAAAUCCCGGGGCUCAACCUCGGAACUGCCUUUGAUACUGUUAGUCUCGAGUCCGAUAGAGGUGAGUGGAAUUCCUAGUGUAGAGGUGAAAUUCGUAGAUAUUAGGAAGAACACCAGUGGCGAAGGCGGCUCACUGGAUCGGUACUGACGCUGAGGUGCGAAAGCGUGGGGAGCAAACAGGAUUAGAUACCCGUGUAGUCCCUGAGCGGGCUGGCAAGGCGCAU
rnacentral:rRNA from 1 species